ACCUUUAGAUCUUUGAGUAUUCCCAGAAUCAUUCCCCUCUGUAAUCUUAUUUUCUUCAUUAAUCACUGUCAUACAUACCUUAUCAGUAUGCCCAAACACUUUACGGUGAUUACAUCUUGAAGGAUACCAAGCAUACUCAACCAAAAACUCCUGAUUAACAGCACAAUUCUUCACAAAAUCCCAUGUAGUAACUCCAAUCUUCGCACCAUGAGCACCCUUUACCAAACAUCAAGUAACCAAAUCUUCAAAUGUAUAGAAAAGAAUUAACCACGCAUAAUAGCUAAAUCAACAAGCAAUUACACUACAAAUAAACCAAAUAAACCAAAUCUUCCAAUGCAUAGAAAAGAUUUAACCACACAUAAUAGCUAAAUCAGCAAGCAAUGACACCACAAAUCUACCUAUCUUAAUAAAAAAAAAAAAAAAAAUCUGCCACGUGUCACUUGCAGCAUCGAUUUUCAUUCAAUGUAAAAUUCCAUUUUUGCCCCGCCUUCAUAUAACACUGUGGAUUACAUCUCCAGCUCAUGUGAUAUCUAUAACUAAUAUCAUGUGAUAUCUAUAACUGAUAUCCUGUUUUAAUUUGAUUUGAUUCCAUAUUCAUCGUUUGGAAGGAAUUAAUUGCUUACCAUAUUCAUUCUUCUAAUUUGAACCUUAUUUUCUCUUCAAACGAUCAUGUCUAAGCCCUAUUUUACUGCAUCAUAUUUGUGAAUAUCAAAAAAAUCAAAAGAUCCUCUCUAUGCUUUCAUAUCAAAGAAAAUUGGCUGAAAUUGGGUUUUGAUUUUUGAAACCCCAGGAAAGGUCUUAUUUCAAUUGUUGUAAGAUGACGAUCUUGAUGAUGAAAUCGGAGGAAGAAGUUGAUCUUGAUAUAUGGAAGUGCCGGUUAGAAGCAGAUCUUGGAAAACGAUUCAAACAGGCCUGGAACUAGAAUCACAGUAUGCGUAAUCAAUUGUGUGAUUUGUUUGUUUGGAGCCAGAAUCUGGUCGAUUUAAAGAGGAAUCAGAUGUGGUUAUUGCGAAGGCCUUCUUUCUCAUUGGUUACUCUUUAUAUUCAUCUCUUUGUUGCCAAUGCUUAGUUCGUUUGAAUGGAGUUUGUGGACAUUGGAAGUUCAUUAAGGAGCGUUAGACCUUUUUACCCCUACUUCGUUGCUUCUGGUGUGGCGUUGUUUUGUUGGCGUUCAUCCCCUUACGCCUUGUUCCAAGUUUUUUUUGUAAAUUCAUUAAAAGAAAGAGAAGGAAAAUUUUGACGGAAAGAAAGGGAGACGAAGGAAAAUAUUCAUUAUUCCGUAUUCCCGAGUUCGAAGGAAAUGAAAGGAAAUGGAAAGAAAAUUUUAAGUUUUUGUGUUCCCGAGUUAGGAGGAAAAAGAAAAUAAAACAUAAAAUUUUCCUUUCCCUCGCUUUUUUUCCAAAUCCGCCCAAUUUGGGAGGAAAAUUUGGAAGGAAAAUAUGACUCCAAAAUCUUUCCCCUCCCCUCACUUUCCUUCCAUUAAUGAAACUCGGGACCACGAUUUUCCUUCGACACCCCUCACUUUCCCUCCGUAUCCUUCCAUUUCUCUCCUUAAGUAGAACUCGGGAACAAGGCGUUAGGUGAUGAUUUCUUUGGUUAUUUUGCUUGAAGUUUUAUAUUGGUUAGGAUACUUCAAUUUCUAUGUGGAAGCAGUGUUUAUUUUGGACAAUUUUUUUCUCAAUUGUUGUCAUCAUUGAUCUCAUUUUCUUCCUCCUCUAAAGUUUUUAAGUAGGUGGAUUUUUCAGUGUUGGAGGCGUGUCUGCUGUUGUAGCUAACAAACUAUUUAUUGUAAAAUUAUUUUUUCUAUGGUA